UACGAACUGUGCGAACGUUAUUCGGAAUCACUGGGCUUACAGGGUGCGUAGGCGGCGAGACAAGUCAGGUGUGAAAUCCCACAGCUCAACUGUGGAACUGCGCUUGAAACUGUCUUGCUUGAGGAAUCUAGAGGUAUGCGGAACUUCCGGUGGAGCGGUGAAAUGUGUUGAUAUCGGAAGGAACACCAGAGGCGAAGGCGGCAUACUGGGGAUUAUCUGACGCUGAGGCACGAAAGCCAGGGGAGCAAACGGG
rnacentral:rRNA from 1 species